UACGUAGGGUGCAAGCGUUAUCCGGAAUUAUUGGGCGUAAAGAGCUCGUAGGCGGUUUGUCGCGUCUGCUGUGAAAACCCGAGGCUCAACCUCGGGCCUGCAGUGGGUACGGGCAGACUAGAGUGCGGUAGGGGAGAUUGGAAUUCCUGGUGUAGCGGUGAAAUGCGUAGAUAUCGGGAGGAACACCAGUGGCGAAGGCGAGUCUCUGGGAUGAUGCUGACGCUGAGGCGCGAAAGCCAGGGGAGCAAACGGG
rnacentral:rRNA from 1 species